GGGGGCGCAACGCCCUCGACCUAUUCU
rnacentral:snRNA from 1 species